GAUAAACGCUGGCGGCGUGCCUAAUGCAUGCAAGUCGAACGGUUUAGUGCUUUCGGGCACUAAAUAGUGGCAAACGGGUGAGUAACACGUGGGAAUCUGCCCGAGAGUGGGGAACAACUCCUCGAAAGAGGAGCUAAUACCGCAUACGGUCACCUGGUGAAACGGGAGGACUAAAGCUUUAAGAAAUUAAGGCGCUUUUGGAGGAGCCUGCGGCUGAUUAGCUAGUUGGUGGGGUAAAGGCCUACCAAGGCGAUGAUCAGUAGCUGGUCUGAGAGGAUGGACAGCCACACUGGGACUGCGAUACGGCCCAGACUCCUACGGGAGGCAGCAGCAAGGAAUUUUCGUCAAUGGGGGCAACCCUGAACGAGCAACGCCGCGUGGGUGAAGAAGUC
rnacentral:rRNA from 1 species